AUUGAACGCUGGCGGCAGGCCUAACACAUGCAAGUCGAACGAGUGGCGGACGGGUGAGUAAUGUAUGGGGAUCUGCCCGAUAGAGGGGGAUAACUACUGGAAACGGUGGCUAAUACCGCAUACCAUCGGAUGUGCCCAUAUGGGAUUAGCUAGUAGGUGGGGUAAAGGCUCACCUAGGCGACGAUCCCUAGCUGGUCUGAGAGGAUGAUCAGCCACACUGGGACUGAGACACGGUCCAGACUCCAACGGGAGGCAGCAGUGGGGAAUAUUGCACAAUGGGCGCAAGCCUGAUGCAGCCAUGCCGCGUGUAUGAAGAAGGCCUUAGGGUUGUAAAGUACUUUCAGCGGGGAGGCGUUACCCGCAGAAGAAGCACCGGCUAACUCCGUGCCAGCAGCCGCGGUAAUUC
rnacentral:rRNA from 1 species